rnacentral:misc_RNA from 1 species
GUUGAAGCUGUUGCAUUUAAAUCUGCAAAUAUUAAACAUAAAAGUGGAGCAAAGCAAAUAGAUUAAUGACUUCUUCAAAAGUUCAUGGCUUAAGAAAUGCCAAACAUGAAACUGAAUACUUUAUAUUUCCACCAGUAACAAAUUAAUGGCUUUUCUUAAUUCAAGGUUUCAGUGGAAAUGUAUCUGAUAAAAAGAUUUUGCAAUGACCUCAAAUUUCA